CUGAGUUACCGCUCUAUAACCCUUUGUGAACAUACCUACAACUGUUGCUUCGGCGGGUAGGCCGUCCCCUGAAAAGGACGCCUCCCGGCCCGGACCGGACCCCCUGUGGGGCCGGACUCGGCGCCCGCCGGAGGAUAACCAAACGCUAUUUAAACGACGUUUCUUCUGAGUGGCAUAAGCAAAAUAAUCA
rnacentral:misc_RNA from 1 species